AUUAUAAAUAUUUUUGUUUGAUAGGCUAUUCGGACGCUGAUCUCAAAGGGUGCUGGAUCUGGUACCUAUCCAGGCCCCAAUAAGUUGUUUCUAUUGGUUAAGGCUCCCUGUUCUUUCAACCUGCCUCUGCAUUUUCUUCCCAAACGUGAUUUUAAAUACAGCAAAAAGAAAGAGAAGACAAGUCAUAGCCCUAGUAGAAUUGAAUUAUUUGACAUCACCCAUGUGCAAGCUAAUGGGCAAGCAGUAAAUGAACCAACACAAGAUGCAUUGGUGGCAUUGAGGAAUCUUACUACUCAAGCAAAUGAGGGGGCAUUGCAAAUAUCUCAAGAUCAAAUGUUUGUGGAGGUGUUUGGACCUGAGCGUCAUGGACAAGUUC